AGAUACUAAAACAGAGGAAAGAUUUGGAAAAUUGUUGUUCUAUAUCAGAGGUCGGCAACCUACGGCCCGCGGGCCGGAUCCGGCCCGACAAGGCCUUGGGACCGGCCCCAGCCGGGUCCUGCCACAGAUUGCCGCAACCAUGGCAAAGAAGAGAGUGGCAGUUAUAGGAGCUGGCUCCAGUGGACUUUGUAGCAUCAAAUGUGUUUGGAUGAAGGCCUGGAACCUGUGUGGCUUUGACAGCAGUGAUGAAUUGGAGGACUCUGGAGGUUCAAAGAGAUUCCUGAGGAAGGCCGAGCUAGCAUUUACAAGUCUGUGAUCAUCAACACCUCCAAGGA